rnacentral:tRNA from 1 species
UAGAAAGUGGUGUAGUGGAAGCACAAGGGGUUUUGAUUCCCUUAGGGCAAGUUCAAUUCUUGCCUUUCUAG